rnacentral:rRNA from 1 species
CCUACGGGAGGCAGCAGUGCGGAAUAUUGGUCAAUGGACGAGAGUCUGAACCAGCCAAGUAGCGUGAAGGAUGACUGCCCUAUGGGUUGUAAACUUCUUUUAUAAAGGAAUAAAGCGAGGCACGUGUGCCUUUUUGUAUGUACUUUAUGAAUAAGGAUCGGCUAACUCCGUGCCAGCAGCCGCGGUAAUACGGAGGAUCCGAGCGUUAUCCGGAUUUAUUGGGUUUAAAGGGAGCGUAGAUGGGUUGUUAAGUCAGUUGUGAAAGUGUGCGGCUCAACCGUAAAAUUGCAUUUGAUACUGGCAGUCUUGAGUACAGUUGAGGUACGCGGAAUUCGUGGUGUAGCGGUGAAAUGCUUAGAUAUCACGAAGAACCCCGAUUGCGAAGGCAGCUUACUAAACUGUGACUGACAUUGAUGCUCGAAAGUGUGGGUAUCAAACAGGAUUAGAUACCCCAGUAGUC